rnacentral:lncRNA from 1 species
UUUUCUUUUCUUUUACAUUCACAUUUACACAAAAUAAAUUCAAAACAAAUAAAUACAAAUUACAUUAAUUAAUUUAAAUUUUACAAAAACAGUCCCUAAAAGUCCAGAAAUUGCAUUGAAGGACACUGCCGGAACUGCUGAACAGUGGCGGCGCGUGGGUUCACGCGCCGCCGCAAGCAGAAACAGGAGACGGGGUGGAUCUGCUCAGCGUCGUCUCCCUGCACCGGUAAUGAUAACCACUAUCACCUGCAAAAAGAACAAAACACAACAGCAAGCUGUCCCCUUUUCUUCUCGGUUUUUUCAUAUCUGCAUCCCACAGAUCCGGUUGUUUGGGCUUCUCUUUCUUCUCCGUUUCAAAUCGCCGGCAAGGAAGAGGACCCGAACCAGAGGGGCGUCGCUGCUAGAGGCAUGGGGAGCGACUGUGGGCACCGCUGGAGGAAGAAGGACGGCUGCUGGCUAGUGUGCACGGCGGCUGAGGAAGGAAAAACCUGCUGGCCGAUGCUUUCAGGGGUGUCGGUGGGAAGCUGGAAUGGGGAGCUCCUGCGAUUUCAUGGCUGUGGUGGCCAAGGGGAGCUGGAGGCUGUCCGAUCAGAGGGCAAAUAAGCGAUGGCGCCUGCGGUUGAAGAGGGAAGAUCAGCUGGUGGAAACCGGCGUUGAUGGAGAGAUGAUGGGGAAGUAAAAGGGAGGCUGGUUCGCAGGAAAGGAGAUGGAUGUGUGGGGUUUCAGCUGAUUUUGGCUUUUUAGCCGAGAGGAAGACUAAGGAGACGGGAAGAGGGCUGCCUUGGCUUCUCUGGUUUCGGCUUUGAAGAUGAGAGAAAAUGUGGAAAUGGUGAUGGCUUGACUUGCUUUGUCAAGGCAAAGGGGGAUUCGCCGUAGCCUUUUUUUUGGAGGAGAAGUGAGAGCGGCUCUGUGUGCAGGUGGCUGUGCAAGGGCUGGGGAGGAAGAAAAUUAAAACUGGGGAGCGGCUCAGGGAGCCCAAAAAUGAAAACUAGCGGGGCUCUUUGGUUUGUCAAUGUUGCUGCUGUUUUGGGGAAGCAACAAGCCGGGGAGAAGCAAAAUCCGAAGGGGGAGGUUCCAGCUGUUAUCGGAGAAGAAGGAAAAAAUUUCCCAAAAGAGGGGGGGGUCUCCCUGGCGGCUGCUUUUUUAGUAGGGAAGAAGAAAAGUUUAGAUUUUUAGGUUUUUACUUUCCUUUCAAAAUUACAAAAU